rnacentral:rRNA from 1 species
AGCGAACGCUGGCGGUAGGCCUAACACAUGCAAGUCGAACGGCAGCACAGUAAGAGCUUGCUCUUACGGGUGGCGAGUGGCGGACGGGUGAGGAAUACAUCGGAAUCUACUUUUUCGUGGGGGAUAACGUAGGGAAACUUACGCUAAUACCGCAUACGACCUACGGGUGAAAGCAGGGGAUUUUCGGACCUUGUGCGAUUGAAUGAGCCGAUGUCGGAUUAGCUAGUUGGCGGGGUAAAGGCCCACCAAGGCGACGAUCCGUAGCUGGUCUGAGAGGAUGAUCAGCCACACUGGAACUGAGGCACGGUCCAGACUCCUACGGGAGGCAGCAGUGGGGAAUAUUGGACAAUGGGCGCAAGCCGGAUCCAGCCAUACCGCGUGGGUGAAGAAGGCCUUCGGGUUGUAGAGCCCUUUUGUUGGGAAAGAAGAGCAGCAGGUUAAUACCCCGCUGUUCUGACGGUACCCAAAGAAUAAGCACCGGCUAACUUCGUG